AAUGAACGUUGGCGGCGUGGAUUAGGCAUGCAAGUCGUGCGGAAAGGCUCCUUCGGGAGUACUCGAGCGGCGAAAGGGAGAGUAACGCGUGGAUUAUCUAACCCCCUGGUCCGGGAUAGCGGCGGGAAACUGCCGGUAAUACCGGAUAACAUCUCCGGAUCAAAGGUGUGAUUCCGCCGGGGAUGGGUCCGCGUCCUAUUAGCUAGUUGGUGGGGUAAUGGCCUACCAAGGCUCAGAUGGGUACCGGGUGUGAGAGCAUGACCCGGCUCACUGGGACUGAGACACUGCCCAGACACCUACGGGUGGCUGCAGUCGAGAAUCUUCGGCAAUGGACGCAAGUCCGACCGAGCGACGCCGCGUGCGGGAUGAAGGCCCUCGGGUUGUAAACCGCUGUCAGAGGGGAUGAAAUGCCAGGUGGCAAUCCACCUGGUUUGACAUAUCCUCAAAGGAAGUACGGGCUAAGUUCGUG
rnacentral:rRNA from 1 species